rnacentral:rRNA from 1 species
CCUACGGGAGGCAGCAGUCGAGAAUCAUUCACAAUGGGGGAAACCCUGAUGGUGCGACGCCGCGUGGGGGAAUGAAGGUCUUCGGAUUGUAAACCCCUGUCAUGUGAGAGCAAAUUAAAAAGAUAGUACCACAAGAGGAAGAGACGGCUAACUCUGUGCCAGCAGCCGCGGUAAUACAGAGGUCUCAAGCGUUGUUCGGAAUCACUGGGCGUAAAGCGUGCGUAGGCUGUUUCGUAAGUCGUGUGUGAAAGGCGCGGGCUCAACCCGCGGACGGCACAUGAUACUGCGAGACUAGAGUAAGGGAGGGGGAACCGGAAUUCUCGGUGUAGCAGUGAAAUGCGUAGAUAUCGAGAGGAACACUCGUGGCGAAGGCGGGUUCCUGGACAUUAACUGACGCUGAGGCACGAAGGCCAGGGGAGCGAAAGGGAUUAGAUACCCCAGUAGUC